AUUAUGAUGGCCGCCCUGGUUGACUGACGGGCUUUCCAGACUGGCUCCAAACUUUAGCUAAUGUUCCUUAAGGUAUCUAGUGUUAGUGUACCAUGUUUGGUACUUGUAUCAUAAAAUGGAACAAUUAUGUCACCUAUCCCUGGACUAUAUCGUAAAUUAUGCGCUAAAGCAAGCUAGCAUCUAUGAAUGUGUUAACUGACACGUGACCGCGGUAACUAUUUACUGAAUAGCAAGCUAAUCGUAUCAUCAAGAAGUCCCAAAGAGAAGUCUUCACAAAACCGAAUUAAUUUUUUUUUAAGGACUCUAACCUUAACACGAACAUAGUUUUGCUCAGCUUCCUGAUGUCUGCACUUUUACUGUAAUUUCAGUGUAUGCAAUGACAAGAAAAAGUAACUGUUCUGCGUGCUAUUUUUAACUUUGAUUCCGGUUGUUUUGGUACACCCUCUGCCUGGAUUGGAUGAGAACAUUUCCAAGAUGUAUUGGUAGACAAAUAUGUCAAUCACUCAUAGAACGUAAUGAAUACAUGUCUUGGAGAGUAGUUGUCUGUAUUUACGGCAGCGAAUUAGAGGGGUGAACACUAUGACCACACGAGGGCAGUGAUGUCCAUUAUUUUCCAGACUGACUGUUACAAAAACUGCAUUUUGUUCCGGACAAAACAUGUUAAUUAACAGAAGAGAAAAUGCAGAUUAUCCAUCCAGAAGCGGGGCCACCAUCUCCAGCAUCUUCCCCGUUCUUGGCUGUGGUUGGAACCAUAACGGUGUUAGUAGGGCUGACAACAUUACUACUGGUGGUCAAAAGUGACCGGCGGCUGCUGAUCCAUGCUCUAUUCACCUAUCCUCUCCGUUCACCAAGAUGCACACACACAGACCCUUCUGUAGAGUGUCUGGGAGGUGAAUAGGCGUGUCUGGGAGGUGCAUAGGCGUGUCUGGGAGGUGCAUAGGCGUGUCUGGGAGGUGCAUAGGCGUGUCUGUCAGGUGCAUAGGAGUGUCUGUCAGGUGCAUAGGAAUGUAGUUGGCAACCUCAUCUGAUUCCAGACAACCCCUCAAGCUUUAUAAUUUAAGUUGAGUGAUAAAAAUGACUUUUGUGGUACUACAGUAUGUGGGUAAACUGUCAUCAGUAUGUAGCUACAUUGUUUUGGCUGGGAUUCAACUCACUCAGUAUUAAAAACAAAUACUGUAGGUUGUGUUUCGUGACAGCUCUCCAUUUUUCUCUGUACUGAUGUCUACUUUGCGAGGAUUACAAAGUCAUACUUUAGUUAGUGGUUAUUGUAUGCUAACCUUUUGAAUAUGUGCAUAAAUCCUAAUGUGUGGCUGAUCUGAUAAGACAGUGUAUAGUGUAUGUAACUGAGAUUAGGAGGUCAUAUCAUAAAAAGUGUGUUUUUGUCCAGAUAAAUAUAAGAAAACAUUUAGAUGAUGUGGAAUUAGAUACAUCUAUCUCAAUAGUUGCAUUGCAUAUUGUCCAGAACAGUCAUGAUUGUAAAGAAGAUGAGACAAUAAAGGAUGACAAUUUA